rnacentral:ribozyme from 13 species
ACAAAAAGAGAAAGAAAAUAAAGAGAAAAAAGAGAAAAAAGAGGCGAAGAAAGUGGCAAAGAAGAAUACAGAGAGUGGGAGUAGUAGUGGGUUUACUUCUCCUUUUAAGGUUGGAAGAACUCAUCGAUCUCCUCCUUGUUCUCCUCUUUCACAAGCGCGUUCUCUCGAUUUACAAGAAGAAGAAAGA